AAGAGUAAAAUCAUUUGAUAUUUUAUUUACACUAAAAAUUUCCUUAAAAGGUGCUCUUU
rnacentral:tRNA from 1 species